rnacentral:lncRNA from 10 species
ACAACAAAAACUGGCGGCGAGGAACUGCGGAGAACUGUUGCCCUGCACCGCUUCAUUUUGUGCAGCCUGAAAGGGGCAAUCACAUAAGGAUUGUGGUGGGCUUUACUUCAAGGCGCGCUGGCCUGUAUUAAGAAUUAAGAUAGAGGAGGCCGGGUGCAGUGGCUCGCCCCUGUAAUCUCAGCACUUUCGGAGGCCGAGGCAAGUGGAUCACCUGAGGUCAGGAGUUCAAGACCAGCCUGGCCAACAUAAUGAAAUGCCCAUCUCUACCAAAAAUACAAAAAUUAGCUGGGUGUGAUGGCAGGCGCCUGUAGUCCCAGCUACUCGGGAGGCUGAGGCAGGAGAAUCGCUUGAACCCAGGAGGCGGAAGUUGCAGUGCGCCGAGAUCACGCCAGUGCACUCCAGCCUGGGCGACAGAGUGAGACUCCGUCUCCCCGCUCCCCCCAAAAAAGAAAGAGGACAUGUACUUGUAGACAGGAUUCAAAGCAGUUAAGAAUGUCUCUGCCAAGUCGACAAACAGCUAUUAUUGUUAACCCU